AAAUAAAAAAACUCAUCUUCUCCCAUUUCCCCUGCCUUCCAGCCUGACCUCCAACCCACCCUUCCCACAGCUCCGCCAUACCUCCAUUAGAUCUGACUCUCUCCAACCCAGAUCAAGUCGCCAUCUCUCUCUCUCUCUCUCUCUCUUCCCCUUGGUUUCACCUCCAUUGGCGUCAUGAUUUGGUUGCACGGCCCCAAACCUCUUAUUCGAACACGACCUUGUGCCACCCAGAUCUAAGCAAUAAGUCGAGUCGCGUUUGUACAUUGAUGAGGUCGAGGAGGGUUUUGUAUCGCGAUAGCUUCCUCUUCUCCUUCCAUCCUCUGCGGUUUGGGUGGUUCAGUAGUUCGAAUAUUGUGGCGUUCCGCAAUGCGAAGGAUUCGGCCCUUUUCAUUCGGUUGGGGAUUGGAUUUGAUUGGGGAACUUCCCAGAAUAUGAGUUUCGUGAUGAUCUGAAGGAUUUGAUUUGAUUGUUGUUUAUUGGAGAGAUGGAUACGUUAUCUACAAUCAGCAAAGAGCUGGCGGAGAUCGAUGGCCAAAUCACUGACAUUUUCCGUGCAUUAUCGUGAGCAUUUUCAUUUUAUACCUCUGUUUGGAUUUGGGUUGAUUAAAGGAUUGAGUUUCAGAGUGUUUUAUGGUUCCUUCUUGGAAAUUCAAGUCUAAUGCUAGUGUUUGGAUUCCUUCCAAUUCCAAGCACCCAGAGUAAUAUGGGGUUGAAGAAAUUGGGUGGGGGGGAAGAAAUCGGCGGAGAGAGAGA